rnacentral:sRNA from 1 species
CGUCUCAAUUCGCACGAGUCCAACGUGUAUGCCCCAAGACCAUGAGGGUUGACUCGUGUCCGAACUCGGAUCCGCACCCUAGUGACCGACCUGGUCAAGUAAACCAGUCCAACACUGAGUCGUUGAACCAAAGUUUUCGCGCCAUUUUUCUGCAGAUUUGAGCCAACCCUGCUAAAGUUUUGUGUCUGAUGUCCACUACACUUCCACCACUCGUGGAGAUGCCUAUUAACCUAGCUCCUCCACUCGAAAUGGCGAUCCAAAUCUAAAUCAUGUCUGAUGUCCACUACACUUCCACCACUCGUGCAUUCUUGACAAGGUAUCCUGAAGAGGGACAACAAUGAAUGAUGAUAUUUCUUCAAAGGCGUUUCAACUGAUCAGUGCUGUGGCUGAAAUGCUUGUUUUCAGAUAAAAGAUACUGCUGCAAAAUACUUUCAGAGGAUAUUCUAAGUGUAUGUCUUUGCCGCACUUUCUACAUGGCCAUGGAAUCAUGAGGGCUUGCAAUUUCUUCCGGCACAGCGAUCCAAGAACAAGUUUGAAGUUUCAAUGAUUUGGAGAGACAAGGGAAGCAAGAAUUAAGGGAAAUGAAAACAUGGAACAUGUUAUGUAGGAAAAAUUA